GACGAACGCUGGCGGCGUGCUUAACACAUGCCAGUCGAACGGAAAGGCCCCUUUGGGGGUACUCGAGUGGCGCACGGGUGAGUAACACGUGAGUAACCUGCCCUUGACUUCGGGAUAACUUCAGGAAACUGGGGCUAAUACCGGAUAGGAAUCCUUGCUGCAUGGUGGGGGUUGGAAAGCUUCGGCGGUUUUGGAUGGACUCGCGGCUUAUCAGCUUGUUGGUGGGGUAGUGGCUUACCAAGGCUUUGACGGGUAGCCGGCCUGAGAGGGCGACCGGCCACAUUGGGACUGAGAUACGGCCCAGACGCCUACGGGAGGCAGCAGUGGGGAAUAUUGCACAAUGGGCGGAAGCCUGAUGCAGCAACGCCGCGUGCGGGAUGACGGCCUUCGGGUUGUAAACCGCUUUCAGCAGGGGCGAAGCUUGUGGUGACGGUACCUGCAGAAGAAGCACCGGCUAACUACGUG
rnacentral:rRNA from 1 species